rnacentral:rRNA from 1 species
CGGAGGAAAAGAAACUAACAAGGAUUCCCCUAGUAACGGCGAGCGAAGCGGGAAGAGCUCAAAUUUGAAAUCUGGUGGCCUCAGGUCAUCCGAGUUGUAAUCUAUAGAAGUGUUUUCCGUGCUGGCCCAUGUACAAGUCCCUUGGAACAGGGCGUCAUAGAGGGUGAGAAUCCCGUCCUUGACAUGGACUACCAGUGCUCUGUGAUACACUUUCAACGAGUCGAGUUGUUUGGGAAUGCAGCUCAAAAUGGGUGGUAAAUUCCAUCUAAAGCUAAAUAUUGGCGAGAGACCGAUAGCGAACAAGUACCGUGAGGGAAAGAUGAAAAGCACUUUGGAAAGAGAGUUAAACAGUAUGUGAAAUUGUUGAAAGGGAAACGAUUGAAGUCAGUCGUGCUCAAUGGACUCAGCCGUUGUGCGGUGUAUUUCCAUUGGGUGGGGUCAACAUCAGUUUUGAUCGCUGGAUAAAGGCAGGAGGAAUGUAGCACCCCCGGGUGAACUUAUAGCCUCUUGUCACAUACAGUGGUUGGGACUGAGGAACGCAGCAUGCCUUUAUGGCCGGG